rnacentral:rRNA from 1 species
UACGUAGGGACCAAGCGUUGUUCGGAUUUACUGGGCGUAAAGGGCGCGUAGGCGGCGCGGUAAGUCACUUGUGAAAUCUCUGAGCUUAACUCAGAACGGCCAAGUGAUACUGCAGUGCUAGAGUGCGGAAGGGGCAAUCGGAAUUCUUGGUGUAGCGGUGAAAUGCGUAGAUAUCAAGAGGAACACCUGAGGUGAAGACGGGUUGCUGGGCCGACACGUGACGCUGAGUGCGCGAAAGCCAGGGGAGCAAACGGG